CAAACCCCUCUCUCCCUCACUACAUUCGACCAUCUCUCUCUCCCCUUCAUCUCUCUACUUUCCACCAUUUUCCUCCAUUGAUGAAACCUUCGAAGCUUCACCCAAGUAUGCCAAACACAUAAAUCACUACUUAAAUCCUCCAUAAACACAUCCUAUUAACUUGAAUUCAAGAGAAUCCUUGAAGGAAGGCUUCAAGACUAGAGAGAGAAAGUUUGAGUUUUGGUGAAGAACUUGAACACGGGCAGAGCAGGGAAGUAAGUAACUCCGCUUUGACGGGAGUUUUUGAGUAAGGUCUUCAGGCUAAGCGAGGAGCGAGAUUGGUCUGGUGCUGGUGGGGAAUUGUUGAAGGAUG